rnacentral:rRNA from 1 species
UGUUGGUAUCUUAGUGGCGGACGGGUGAGUAACGCGUGGGUAACCUGCCUUACACUGGGGGAUAACACUUAGAAAUAGGUGCUAAUACCGCAUAACAGGGAAAGAUGCAUGUCUUUUCCUUGAAAACUCCGGUGGUGUAAGAUGGACCCGCGUCUGAUUAGCUUGUUGGCGGGGUAACGGCCCACCAAGGCGACGAUCAGUAGCCGGCCUGAGAGGGUGAACGGCCACAUUGGGACUGAGACACGGCCCAAACUCCUACGGGAGGCAGCAG